rnacentral:rRNA from 1 species
AGAGUAUGAUCCUGGCUCAGGAUGAACGCUGGCGGCGUGCUUAACACAUGCAAGUCGAACGAACCUUCGGGUUAGUGGCGGACGGGUGAGUAACGCGUGAGAAUCUGCCCUCAGGAGGGGGAUAACGGUUGGAAACGACCGCUAAUACCCCAUAUGCCUAUUGGUGAAAUGAAUUUCGCCUGAGGAUGAGCUCGCGUCUGAUUAGCUAGUUGGUGAGGUAAUGGCUCACCAAGGCUUCGAUCAGUAGCUGGUCUGAGAGGAUGAUCAGCCACACUGGGACUGAGACACGGCCCAGACUCCUACGGGAGGCAGCAGUGGGGAAUUUUCCGCAAUGGGCGAAAGCCUGACGGAGCAACGCCGCGUGAGGGACGAAGGCCUCUGGGCUGUAAACCUCUUUUCUCAAGGAAGAAGAUAUGACGGUACUUGAGGAAUAAGCCACGGCUAAUUCCGUGCCAGCAGCCGCGGUAAUACGGGAGUGGCAAGCGUUAUCCGGAAUUAUUGGGCGUAAAGCGUCCGCAGGCGGCUUUUCAAGUCUGCUGUUAAAACGUGGAGCUUAACUCCAUCAUGGCAGUGGAAACUGAAAGGCUUGAGUAUGGUAGG